rnacentral:rRNA from 1 species
CACGUAGUUAGCCGUGGCUUCCUCGUAAGAUACCAUCACUUAAUGAUCAUUUCCUAUCAUUACCGUUUUUCUCUUACAACAGAGCUUUACGACCCGAAGGCCUUCUUCACUCACGCGGCAUUGCUCGGUUCAGGGUUUCCCCCAUUGACGAAAAUUCCCUACUGCUGCCUCCCGUAGGAGUUUGGGCCGUGUCUCAGUCCCAAUGUGGCCGUCUACCCUCUCAGGCCGGCUACGUAUCAUCGCUUUGGUGGGCCGUUACCCCGCCAACUGGCUAAUACGCCGCAGGUCCAUCCAUGUCCGCACCCGAAGGUCCUUUAAUAUAGCCAAGAUGCCUUGUCUAUACCUAUCCGGUUUUAGCAGACGUUUCCAUCUGUUAUCCCGGGUACAUGGGCAGGUUCCCUACGUGUUACUCACCCGUUCGCCUACUAAGUCUGACCAAAAGCAACGUCUUUCAACUGUCUUCGUUCGACUUGCAUGUAUUAGGCAUCGCCGC